AGAGUUUGAUCCUGGCUCAGGAUGAACGCUAGCUACAGGCUUAACACAUGCAAGUCGAGGGGAAACGACAUCGAAAGCUUGCUUUUGAUGGGCGUCGACCGGCGCACGGGUGAGUAACGCGUAUCCAACCUGCCCACCACUUGGGGAUAACCUUGCGAAAGUAAGACUAAUACCCAAUGAUAUCUCUAGAAGACAUCUGAAAGAGAUUAAAGAUUUAUCGGUGAUGGAUGGGGAUGCGUCUGAUUAGCUUGUUGGCGGGGUAACGGCCCACCAAGGCAACGAUCAGUAGGGGUUCUGAGAGGAAGGUCCCCCACAUUGGGACUGAGACACGGUCCAAACUCCUACCGGAGGCAUCA
rnacentral:rRNA from 1 species